GUCCUGGCUUUCCAGCACUCCCAGUUUGCUAAGCAAAACAGUAAUUAACAGCUCUGUGGGUUCCAUGAAGUACCCGAAGUAGCUGUCAGCCAGUGCAAUGCUGUCAUGCCUCUUCUAGGGCUCAGUGAAAGGUAUGUGAAACUCCUCCUCUGCUUCUCCUUCUCUGAUCGUAUGCACAGAUUCAUCUCUUCUGAAUAAAUGAAGAAAGUGACUAUGAAAGCACAGCAUCUACCUUAUGUUUCCAUCAAUGAGGAGAAGUUCAUAACCAGAGAGCAGCUCAGUUCUCUUCUGAAGACUUAUAACUCUUACUAUUCCGAUCAAGAAAAC
rnacentral:lncRNA from 1 species